CCAACGUGGCCAUCCCGGGAGGUCACUUUCCCCGGGCUCUGUCCUAGUGGCGUAUGGGAGCAUAGGGUACUGCCCGAUGAUGUACAGUCCCUUUCCACAAUGUUGGAGAUGAAGCUGGGCUUCGAGUCUGCGCCUGCAUAUUCCUACGACCUCUCAGAGUCCCGUGGACAGUGACUGAGGAGACAAACCAUGCAGGAAACAAAA
ensembl:snoRNA Rnu105c RNA, U105C small nucleolar